UUUGGGCAAAACUCUUCCUCUUAAAUGCCAAGACGCACCUUUUGAUCCCAAAAUCCCUGGCCGUGCCAUGUCCUUUCCCUUUGAGCUGCUUUAACCCUAAGAAGCCCCGAGCCUUCCUCGCCGUCGCCAAUUGCUCCUUCUCCAUAGCUACUUGCCACCUGCUCCUUCCUCCCCGUGGGCACCUGCUUCUUCAACCUCGAGUCGCCAGCUGCUCCUUCAGGGAUUACCAAUGUGCUAUUAUUUCAAAUUGACAGAUGGUAAUGAAGACAGGGAGAAAGAAGUGGUAAGGAGAGAGAUUGCAUUAUUUAGGAGGGUGGAAGAGCUUCAAAAUAGAGAGAGAGAGCUUCAAAAGAGAGAGAAAGAGCUUCAAAAUAGAGAGAGAGAGCUUCAAAAGAGAGAGGAAGAACUUCAAAAUAGAGAGGAAGAGAUUGCGAAGAUGGAGUUGAGACUCCACAAUGAUGAAGUUGACCUUCUAAGGCAACAAGCAUAUUUGCGUUGUUCACGCAUCCUACUUGGAGUGUAUUGGGGACUACUUUCCAUAUUUAUUUCAUGGAAAUUGAUCGGAUCAAAGUGACCUUGGACUCGAUCCUGUUCGGGAUUUUUUGUUUGUAAUGUGGAUAGCUGUUGUAAAUGACUUUCGACUCCAUCCUGUUGACUUUGAACUUCUUUCUAUAUUUGCUUCUUCAUGUGAUAACUGUUGUAACUUGGAAGUUCAUGAAUGAACCAAGAAAUGGCCAAAAUAAGGAACGCCUUACUCUUUGAA